rnacentral:tRNA from 1 species
GCGCUUAUAGCUCAGCUGGAUAGAGCACUGGGUUGCGGUCUCAGCGGUCGGGGGUUCGAAUCCCUCUAAGCGCG